rnacentral:rRNA from 1 species
AGCGAACGCUGGCGGCAGGCCUAACACAUGCAAGUCGAACGAUCCUUCGGGAUAGUGGCGGACGGGUGAGUAACACGUGGGAACGUACCUUUAGGUUCGGGAUAACUCAGGGAAACUUGAGCUAAUACCGGAUAAGCCCUUUUGGGGAAAGAUUUAUCGCCUUUAGAGCGGCCCGCGUUAGAUUAGCUAGUUGGUGAGGUAAAGGCUCACCAAGGCUCCGAUCUAUAGCUGGUCUGAGAGGAUGAUCAGCCACACUGGGACUGAGACACGGCCCAGACUCCUACGGGAGGCAGCAGUGGGGAAUCUUGCGCAAUGGGCGAAAGCCUGACGCAGCCAUGCCGCGUGAAUGAUGAAGGUCUUAGGAUUGUAAAAUUCUUUUAGCAGGGACGAUAAUGACGGUACCUGCAGAAAAAGCCCCGGCUAACUUCGUGCCAGCCGCCGCUGUAACAC